rnacentral:rRNA from 1 species
UUGGAGGGCAAGUCUGGUGCCAGCAGCCGCGGUAAUUCCAGCUCCAAUAGCGUAUAUUAAAGUUGUUGCAGUUAAAAAGCUCGUAGUUGAAUUUCGGGAUUGACACAUCGGUCGUGCCUUAAGGGGUAUGAACUGGUGUAGUCAAUUUCUCACCUUCUGGAGAACCGCGAUGUCCUUAAUUGGGUGCCGCGGGGAACCAGGACCUUUACUUUGAAAAAAUUAGAGUGUUUAAAGCAGGCAUUUUGCUUGAAUACAUUAGCAUGGAAUAAUAAAAUAGGACGGAUGAUUCUAUUUUGUUGGUUUCUAGGACCACCGUAAUGAUUAAUAGGGAUAGUUGGGGGCAUUAGUAUUCAAUUGUCAGAGGUGAAAUUCUUGGAUUUAUUGAAGACUAACUACUGCGAAAGCAUUUGCCAAGGAUGUUUUCAUUAAUCAAGAACGAGAGUUAGGGGAUCGAAGACGAUCAGAUACCGUCGUAGUCUUAACCAUAAACUAUGCCGACUAGGAAUCAGACGAUGUUAAUUUUUUAAUGACUCGUUUGGCACCUUACGGGAAACCAAAGUGUUUGGGUUC